GUCCAGACUCCUACGGGAGGCAGCAGUGGGGAAUAUUGCACAAUGGGGGAAACCCUGAUGCAGCGACGCCGCGUGAAGGAAGAAGUAUUUCGGUAUGUAAACUUCUCUCAGCAGGGAAGAAAAUGACGGUACCUGACUAAGAAGCCCCGGCUAACUACGUGCCAGCAGCCGCGGUAAUACGUAGGGGGCAAGCGUUAUCCGGAUUCACUGGGUGUAAAGGGAGCGUAGACGGCCAUGCAAGCCUGGAGUGAAAGCCCGGGGCCCAACCCCGGGACUGCUCUGGGAACUGUGCGGCUGGAGUGCGGGAGGGGCAGGCGGAAUUCCUGGUGUAGCGGUGAAAUGCGUAGAUAUCAGGAGGAACACCGGCGGCGAAGGCGGCCUGCUGGACCGCGACUGACGUUGAGGCUCGAAAGCGUGGGGAGCGAACAGGAUUAGAUACCCGCGUAC
rnacentral:rRNA from 1 species